UUAAUGCCAACUAGUCUUGCUUCUUGUUCUGUAUAAUUGGCACCUGUUGUAAAGGAGGCAACAAAAAGUACUUAGCAAAAUGGGAAUGGAAAACAUGAUCAAGAUCCAUAAAACAAUUAACCUCUGAUUUCAAGAAGUAAUUAGAUAACAAUAACAUCAAUGAAAUGUUAUUCAGAUCAUGUUAAAUUAUCAUAUGCAGGUUGGGAUCUAACCAGUUCCCUCUUUCAGAAUUGG
rnacentral:misc_RNA from 1 species